rnacentral:rRNA from 1 species
UACGUAGGGUGCAGGCGUUAAUCGGAAUUACUGGGCGUAAAGCGUGCGCAGGCGGUUUGUUAAGACAGGUGUGAAAUCCCCGGGCUCAACCUGGGAACUGCAUUUGUGACUGCAUGGCUAGAGUACGGUAGAGGGGGAUGGAAUUCCGCGUGUAGCAGUGAAAUGCGUAGAUAUGCGGAGGAACACCGAUGGCGAAGGCAAUCCCCUGGACCUGUACUGACGCUCAUGCACGAAAGCGUGGGGAGCAAACAGG